rnacentral:rRNA from 1 species
GAUGAACGCUAGCGGCAGGCUUAAUACAUGCAAGUCGAGGGGUAACAUGGUAGCAAUACUGAUGACGACCGGCAAACGGGUGCGGAGCACGUACAGAACCUUCCUUUAAGCGGGGGAUAGCCCAUAGAAAUGUGGAUUAAUACCCCAUAGUAAUAUUGACUGGCAUCAGUUGGUAUUUAAAGAUUUAUCACUUAAAGAUGGCUGUGCGGCUGAUUAGGUAGUUGGUGCGGGUAACGGCCCACCAAGCCAGCGAUCAGUAACUGGUGUGAGAGCACGACCAGUCACACGGGCACUGAGACACGGGCCCGACUCCUACGGGAGCAGCAGUAAGGAAUAUUGGUCAAUGGACGCAAGUCUGAACCAGCCAUGCCGCGUGAAGGAU